CCUACGGGUGGCAGCAGUGAGGAAUAUUGGUCAAUGGGCGGAAGGCUGAACCAGCCAAGUCGCGUGAGGGAAGACUGCCCUAUGGGUUGUAAACCUCUUUUAUAAGGGAGGAAUAAAUUCUACGUGUAGCAUGCUGCCUGUACCUUAUGAAUAAGCAUCGGCUAACUCCGUGCCAGCAGCCGCGGUAAUACGGAGGAUGCGAGCGUUAUCCGGAUUUAUUGGGUUUAAAGGUUGAGUAGGCGGUUUUUUAAGUUAGUGGUUAAACGGCGGGGCUUCACCUUGAUUUGCCAUUUAGACUGGAAGACUUGAGUGCAGACGAGGGAGGCGGAAUAAG
rnacentral:rRNA from 1 species